rnacentral:rRNA from 1 species
CGCUGGCGGCGUGCCUAACACAUGCAAGUCGAACGGGACCAGGGGCAACUCUGGUUCAGUGGCGGACGGGUGCGUAACACGUGAGGAACAUGACCUUCGGCGGGGGAUAGCCGGCCCAACGGCCGGGUAAUACCGCGUACGACCACUUUGGGACAUCCCUAGGUGGUGAAAGCAGCAAUGCGCCGAUGGAGUGCCUCGCGGCCUAUCAGCUAGUUGGUGAGGUAACGGCUCACCAAGGCGACGACGGGUAGCUGGUCUGAGAGGAUGGCCAGCCACAUUGGGACUGAGACACGGCCCAGACUCCUACGGGAGGCAGCAGUGGGGAAUAUUGCGCAAUGGACGAAAGUCUGACGCAGCGACGCCGCGUGUGGGAUGACGGUCUUCGGAUUGUAAACCACUGUCGGGAGGGACGAAUACGCCGCAAGGCGGGUGACGGUACCUCCAAAGGAAGCACCGGCUAACUCCGUGCCAGCAGCCGCGGUAAUACGGGGGGGGCAAGCGUUGUUCGGAAUUACUGGGCGUAAAGGGCUCGUAGGCGGCCAACUAAGUCAGACGUGAAAUCCCUCGGCUUAACCGGGGAACUGCGUCUGAUACUGGAUGGCUUGAAUCCGGGAGAGGGAUGCGGAAUUCCGGGUGUAGCGGUGGAAUGCGUAGAGAUCCGGAGGAAGACCGGUGGCGAAGGCGGUCUGCUGGGCAGUUUCUGACACUGAGGCGCGACAGCGU